rnacentral:rRNA from 1 species
UGGACUUGACAUGUUAGUGAAAGCCCGAUGAAAAUCGGGGCCUCUGCGAGCUUGCUCAAAGACACUAUCAC